rnacentral:rRNA from 1 species
GACGAACGCUGGCGGCGUGCUUAACACAUGCAAGUCGAACGGAAAGGCCCUGCUUUUGUUGGGUGCUCGAGUGGCGAACGGGUGAGUAACACGUGAGUAACCUGCCCUUGACUUUGGGAUAACUUCAGGAAACUGGGGCUAAUACCGGAUAGGAGCUCCUGCUGCAUGGUGUGGGUUGGAAAGUUUCGGCGGUUGGGGAUGGACUCGAGGCUUAUCAGCUUGUUGGUGGGGUAGUGGCUUACCAAGGCUUUGACGGGUAGCCGGCCUGAGAGGGUGACCGGCCACAUUGGGACUGAGAUACGGCCCAGACUCCUACGGGAGGCAGCAGUGGGGAAUAUUGCACAAUGGGCGGAAGCCUGAUGCAGCAACGCCGCGUGCGGGAUGACGGCCUUCGGGUUGUAAACCGCUUUCGCCUGUGACGAAGCGUGAGUGACGGUAAUGGGUAAAGAAGCACCGGCUAACUACGUG